UUCAGACAAUGGCAAACCUAUUGUAAAAUAGGGACGCAAAGUUACAGGUCCGGUAUGCUGAUAUUUUGCCGGAUGGCUGAACUGCCUGG
rnacentral:ncRNA from 1 species